UCCCUGGUGGCCUAGCAGUUAAGGAUCCAGCAUUGUCAUUGCUAUGGGCCAGGUUCAAUCCCUAGCCUGGGAA
rnacentral:tRNA from 1 species